GUGCUCACAUCAGCAACAAAUGCACUAAAACUGGAACAAUACAGAGAUGAGCAUGGCCCCUGUACAGGGAUGACAUGCAAAUUCAUGAAUCAUUCCACAUUUUU
ensembl:snRNA U6 U6 spliceosomal RNA